AGUGAACGCUGGCGGUAGGCCUAACACAUGCAAGUCGAACGGCAGCACAGUAAGAGCUUGCUCUUACGGGUGGCGAGUGUCGGACGGGUGAGGAAUACAUCGGAAUCUACUUUUUCGUGGGUGAUAACGUAGGGAAACUUACGCUAAUACCGCAUACGACCUACGGGUGAAAGCAGGGGAUCUUCGGACCUUGCACGAUUGAAUGAGCCGAUGUCGGAUUAGCUAGUUGGCGGGGUAAAGGCCCACCAAGGCGACGAUCCGUAGCUGGUCUGAGAGGAUGAUCAGCCACACUGUAACUGAGACACGGUCCAGACUCCUACGGGAGGCAGCAGUGGGGAAUAUUGGACAAUGGGCGCAAGCCUGAUCCAGCCAUACCGCGUGGGUGAAGAAGGCCUUCGGGUUGUAAAGCCCUUUUGUUGGGAAAGAAAAGCAGCAGGUUAAUACCCCGCUGUUCUGACGGUACCCAAAGAAUAAGCACCGGCUAACUUCGUG
rnacentral:rRNA from 1 species